GAUGAACGCUAGCUACAGGCUUAACACAUGCAAGUCGAGGGGCAGCAUUGGAGUAGCAAUACUUCAGAUGGCGACCGGCGCACGGGUGAGUAACACGUAUCCAACCUGCCGCUUACUCGGGGAUAGCCUUUCGAAAGAAAGAUUAAUACCCGAUGGUAUAAAGAGUUCGCAUGUUCUCUUUAUUAAAGAAUUUCGGUAAGCGAUGGGGAUGCGUUCCAUUAGAUAGUUGGCGGGGUAACGGCCCACCAAGUCUACGAUGGAUAGGGGUUCUGAGAGGAAGGUCCCCCACAGUGGAACUGAGACACGGUCCAAACUCCUACGGGAGGCAGCAGUGAGGAAUAUUGGUCAAUGGACGCGAGUUUGAACCAGCCAAGUAGCGUGAAGGAUGACUGCCCUAUGGGUUGUAAACUUCUUUUAUAAGGGAAUAAAGUGAGGGACGUGUCCCUUUUUGUAUGUACCUUAUGAAUAAGGAUCGGCUAACUCCGUGCCAGCAGCCGCAGUAACAC
rnacentral:rRNA from 1 species